ensembl:lncRNA
GAAAAUAGUUAUAUUUAUCAUUGAGAAUAAAUAAGGGUGAUAAAUUACUGUAGAUAAGGUAUUCCACACUAUGCAACAUAUAUUAAAUUCAUGUUAUUGUCAGAUAGAAUACUGAGGAUCCCUGAAGGAAAGAGCUUGUAAAGUUGUCACCCACUGGUCUUAGUAUUUUGUGUUUAUAUAUUUAUUUUUGUCAGGCCAGGGUGUGACAUGGGUUUAUUUUGUGUUGUGUUUUUGUAUUGGGGUUUUAGUAGGUAUUGGGAUUGUGGCUGAGUAGGGGUGUCUAGCAUAGUCUAUGGCUGCCUGAGGCGGUUCUCAAUCAGAGUCAGGUGAUUCUCGUUGUCUCUGAUUGGGAACCAUAUUUAGGUAGCCUGGGUUUCACUGUGUGUUUGUGGGUGAUUGUUCCUGUCUCAGUGUGUUUGUAUUUCACCAGAUAGGCUGUAUAGGUUUUCACGUUUCUUGUUUUUGUAUUUGUCGUGUUUAUUCAUUCAUUAAACAUGUAUCGAACUAACCACGCUGCAUUUUGGUCCGACUCUCCUUCGACGGAAGAAAGCCGUAACAAAAGUGUAGGAAUGAUUUCGAUAUGGUUAGCAUUAGUUUAGGCUCUGGUUAACUAUUAGGAGGUUUUUUAAAUAUUAUUAAACUUAACAGGAAUAUAGGACAUCUGUGGUGAUUUAGGAUUAUUGUAAGGAUUAAGAUAGAUUGAUUAAGGAAAUGUAAGGACUUUAGAGAUGGCCACUUAUAGGCAUGUUUUUUCUAAAAUCAAUGAUUUUAGAUAGUCAAACAGUGAGAUGCUUAGUGGCAUUUUGAGAGAUAGGAGAGAAAGGAAUUACUGUUUAAAUCGGUAAAUAUAUAUAUUUAAGAACAUAUAUAAAUAGCACAGAUACUUCUUAAACUAGAUAAGACACUGGACAGAGAAUUGAUACAGGAUUGAGAUGAAUGGAUGCCCAAGGGAGAAUUGGACAUACAUGAUAAUGUCAGAAAAUCAGGAUAAUUUACCAAUCCUACCUAAGUCAUUAUUUAGGGUAUAUAAGGUUGUUACCUGGGCAGAGCCAGGUAUCAAAAGGGGGGUGGGUAAGUUAGUGGCCUAUUGGAUAAGAAACUAAUAAUUAAAAAAAAAAACAUUUUUAGCUAACAAAUAGGCCUAGAAGUUAAAGAUAUAAUCAGAUAAAACAUAUGAGAAACUGUUUGUUAACCAAGCCCAUAUGUCCAGGAUUUUAUGCAUUACAGGUGAACUACAGGUGAAGUCACUCAAUCCAGUCCCCGAGGCUUGUUGGGGGGACCAUACCAAGGAUCCCUGGUGACAGCUAGCUGAAAGAGCUACCCGGAUUCAUAUCGCACGGCGGGAGGGACUCUGGAGAAAUCGAUGACAAUAGAUGGUGAGGUGCCAGGGGAUUCCAGGUUCUGACCCGCGGAGUGCUGAUUGUAUGUCUACAGGACAAGUGGACGAAUAUGGAUCCUUCAGGGAAUUUCUGCGGGGAAUUUAUGUUUGAAGAGACCAUUUUUGAUGUUUAGGGAGGCUAGGUUGUAUCCUGUUUCAACAAUAGACUGUUUUUUUAAUGAAGAUUGUAACGAAAAUCCUGAUAAGAAGAGUUAUGAUUCUGAUGUAGGCCUGAGAAACAAUUAUGGCGAAUGCAAGUGUUGGGUUAUGUUUAGGUGAUGUUUUGAUGGCAAGAAAUAUCUUUAAUAAAAAUAGAAUAGCUUUUUCAUAUUACAAUAUAACUACAAUGUGUGAUUGAAUGUAUAAUAUUUAAUCAAAGGGUGGAUAUGUUAAGGGAAUUUUUAUCAAGAUGACUAAUUAUGUAUACAUUUCAAUCAGGACUGACUAAUCCGAUUACUAUUAUGUUACUAUACAUGUACUAAUCAGAAUACUAAAUGUUACUGUAUAUGUAUGAGUUUUCAUUCUUGAUCCCAGUACUGAAAAUAAUGUGUGUGAAUGUGGGCAAAAGUUAGAACAAUGACGGUCUGUUCCUUGGUACAAAUGAAUGAACGAUAUCUCCAGACUGUCUAGAAUGCUUAUCUACACUGACUGACCUUGGCUCUAGGCGAGGAGGGAAGGCUUGAGAGCUAUAGAGCCUUUCUACCAGUGUCAAGAAGAAACGGAACAUUUAGAAAACGCUGACGUCAUUUUCAGUUUAUAACCUGUGGUAAAAUGUGUAUGAACUCAGUACUCUCUUGAAUAAAG